ACAUGACGGCAUACCACCCUGAACGCACCCGAUCUCAUCUGAUCUCGGAAGCUAAGCAGGGUCGGGCCUGGUUAGUACUUGGAUAGCCCGAUGAUUUUUAAGCAUGUGACCUCUCUCAAAAAUUAUUUUUGGCGUUUU
ensembl:rRNA 5S_rRNA 5S ribosomal RNA